rnacentral:piRNA from 1 species
UUAGAAAUACGGCUGCCAUGUUUUGA